GAGGAUAUAGCUUAUUUGGUAGAGUGCUUGCCUCACAUGCAUAAGACCCUGGGUUCAAUCCCCAGCACCCCCC
rfam:Ictidomys tridecemlineatus contig110192, whole genome shotgun sequence.